ensembl:misc_RNA Metazoa_SRP Metazoan signal recognition particle RNA
GCUGGGUGUGGUGGCACACACCUGUGGUCCCAGGUACUCGGGAGGCUGAGGCAGGAGGACUGCUUGAGCCCAGGAGGUCAAGGUUGCAGUGAGUUAUGAUUGUACCACUGCACUGCGGCCUGGGCAACAGAGUGAGAUCCUGUCUCUA